UUGACUCUAAUUUCUAAGCAGUUACUAAUUUCUUAAAAGUCUAUAAAUUCAAACAGCUAUUUACUGAAACAAAUAUACCAAACAUAUAAUUUGUACAACAUAAAGUGAUCAAUAAAUUUUUAUAUACUUCAAGCUUAGAAGAAAGAAGAUGGCAGAAAUUAUUAAGUUAAUUUAUUUAAUGGUCCUAUUUAUUUCAUUAUCUCUUAUUUUAACCAACUCUAUAGCCGUAUGGGAUAAAAACAUUUCGUGCAAGGAAAAUUCUGAUUGUUCAGGCUAUGUAUGUCUACCUUCUUAUGUUGCAAAAUGCUUGUCUUCUAGAUGUGAUUGUCGCCCAUUAAUUCAUUGCUAAGAGAUUCAUAUCUUAAUCUCUAGAGAUGCAGUUCAAAUCUCAACUAGAAUUGUUAUCAAAUGGUCAUUACAACAACCAUUAUUAUUAUUAUUAUUAUUAUUAUUAUUAUUAUUAUUA